AUGGCGCGCCAGCCGCCGCACAAUGACGAAAGGCCGUACCACUUCGCCACUCAAGGCAUCGACACCAAAGCAACCGUCACAAUCCAACCAUCCAUCGUAAAGGCGUGGAUAUCACGCGUGUGGACCAACUUCCUCCGGGACGCCGAGAGGAAGCUCGUCGGCCUAGACACCGAGUUCACCAACGCCGCCUUCGGGAAGAGGCAGAAGGACCUACCAAAGGAGCAGAGGCAGCGCGCUGCCGUGCUCCAGCUCUGCAUCACCAACGAGUGCCUGGUGUACCACAUCGUGCACGCGAGGCACGUGCCGGCAAUGCUGAGGAGGUUUCUGGCCGACAAGGACAUCGUCUUCUGCGGAGCCUGGAUCAAGCAGGACCGGGAGAUGCUGGGCUACUACGGCUGA
rnacentral:rRNA from 1 species